GAUGAACGCUGGCGGCGUGCUUAACACAUGCAAGUCGAACGAUGAAGCCCAGCUUGCUGGGUGGAUUAGUGGCGAACGGGUGAGUAACACGUGAGUAACCUGCCCUUAACUCUGGGAUAAGCCUGGGAAACUGGGUCUAAUACCGGAUAGGAGCGUCCACCGCAUGGUGGGUGUUGGAAAGAUUUAUCGGUUUUGGAUGGACUCGCGGCCUAUCAGCUUGUUGGUGAGGUAAUGGCUCACCAAGGCGACGACGGGUAGCCGGCCUGAGAGGGUGACCGGCCACACUGGGACUGAGACACGGCCCAGACUCCUACGGGAGGCAGCAGUGGGGAAUAGUGCACAAUGGGCGCAAGCCUGAUGCAGCGACGCCGCGUGAGGGAUGACGGCCUUCGGGUUGUAAACCUCUUUCAGUAGGGAAGAAGCGAAAGUGACGGUACCUGCAGAAGAAGCACCGGCUAACUACGUG
rnacentral:rRNA from 1 species